rnacentral:lncRNA from 1 species
GAAAGAUCCAUUCUACCCAAGAGAGAGUGAGAGAGGGAACUCUCCAACAGGACGAACCUUUCCAACAAAGAUCACGACGACACACUGAGCAGGUGAGUCUUCAGUUAAUUACUCACCAACUGAAUCGAGAUCUGCUCAGCCAAGAUACACACACAGAAGCCAGGUGGUGACACGCAUCUCUGCGUGCCUGGCAGAUAUCUCAGCUUGGAUGUCGGCCCACCACCUCAACCCCGACAAUACGGAGCUGCUCUUCCUCCCGGGAAAGGCAUGCCUGCUCCAAGACCUCUCCGUCAUGGUUGACAACUCCACUGUGUACCCCUCCCAGAGUGCAAAGAACCUUGGUGUACGCUGGACAAAACCAUGUCAUUCUCUGACUAGGGACCACGAGCUGCAGCCGAGGUCUGAUGAGUUGUAACCCCAAAACGCAACACGAUGUUGACGAAGACAAAGGAACCUUUUAACAAUCUAUGCUACGGAUGAGUAGCUGUGUCUAAGAGGGGGAAUUCUAGCAGGACGACCCGGUUAUUCUCUCCAAGGAAUCGUGUGUCUUCACUGCUUUCAUUCACACACUGGAACCACCUACAUGGCUGAUUAGCCGUCCUCAAAAGACCCCUCUUUCAGAACAAGUGCGAGGAACCAGACCACUAAGAGAAAGGACACUGACAUCUUGGUGGACAAUCAGAGAGUUACACCUGGUAACAACAGAAGUGUCGCCAUCAGAGAAGUCGGAACCGGUCCACUAAGAGACACCCCAUCGGAGACCUUCGACACAUAAUUACAUCAUUAUAUUCUGACCCAUAAGAGCGGCAGUUCGGGCAAGGUUAGGGUUAAAAU